GCGCGGGUCCCGUGCAAGGUCGCGCCGCGAACCAUGUCAGGCGGGGAACCGAGCAGCAUUAAGCGGAUUUCGGCUUGUGCCGCGGCAAAUCCGCGUUCG
rnacentral:SRP_RNA from 1 species